GGGGGCCCUAGGCACAGGCCUUACUCGCCUUAGCCCAGGGCCGGCCCUGAUUAUACCUUAAGUGAUGGUUGGUUAUGUGAUUGUAGGUUAGUUUUGAUUUAUGUUGGUUAUGAAUUAUUGUGGGAUAGAAAAAGUAUUUGUUAUAUUAUACCUUUUGUAAUGGUUGGUUAUGACUUCUUUUUUAGUUAUGAUUAAAAAAGAUUUUGUGACAUUUGUGGUCACUCCAAAAGGGAUGUGUAUACUAACAUGACCCCUGUAAUUAGGAGGUAUUUAAUUGUUUAUUUCUUCCCUAUUAAAUGGCUAUUUAUUGUAUUUAUGUGAUAUUGGGCUUGCGGACUUGUCUUGACCUUUUUAUAUAGUUGAUUUUUUAGUUUAAUGUAAUUAUCUUCAUAUUUGUAAAUUACUUCAUUACAAUUGACAAAAAAAUUGCCUUCGGUUUUGUUGAAAAAGAUGCUUGCUAUUUCUUCUUCUUCUUAAUUUUUUUUCUCUUUAGAUCCCUUUUUUCUGGACUAUUUGAUUCUUAUUGAGUAGCCUCAUUUUGGGAUAUAUUAGAAUGGAUCAAUGACUGCAAUUCAACAAUCGGUGGCAUAUGAAGAUCUCAAGAACAAAAUUGCACAUUUUCAAUCGAGAGUCAAGCAGGCCAUCAGCAUGGUGAAGCCACACUUAAACAAUGAAACUGCUGUGAGUGCAAUCGCGGCAUUGCAAGAGUUGGAAGAACUAGCAACUAUGGAUAUGAAUGCACCACUGAAUGUUCAAGUUCAAGUUCAACUGCAAGAACCGCUUCACCAGUAUUGACAACAAUUGCAGCAAGGACCAAUAACUGCACAGCUUGUUUCGUUUUGAGGACUGACAUUUGGGAGGAGGAGUGCUUGCAAGGAUCUGUGGAGGGAGCGACAAAGUGCGUUGAAAAGCUAGAUGUGAUUGAUUGAUGGUGGAGGUGAAAAUUGAAUGUGGUGUUUGGGCAACUUUCCUGCCGGCCAAGAAUUUGUAAUUUGUAUUUAUAGUUUUAUGCUUUUAUCUGAGUAGGAAUAUUUGAAUGAAUUUGAAGUAGCCUUGAAUCAUAUUUCGUGUUUGUGCUAAUAUGGGUUUUACCCAUACUUUUCAAAUGUGGAAAUUAGUUUCAGCUGAAUUCAUUACUUUUAACUGAAUCUGGGUGAAAUUUUAGCUGGAGAUUUGGAAAAGUUCCAGGGUUGAACUGUCUAUCAGAUUUUUGGGUGCAAUUCAAAUGCUUUUGUUGUACAGAUCGGCUUAGACAGAUCA